ACGCACGCUGGCGGCGUGCUUAACCCAUGCAAGUCGCACGGAAAGGCCCUGCUUUUGUGGGGUGCUCGAGUGGCGAACGGGUGAGUAACACGUGAGUAACCUGCCCUUGACUUUGGGAUAACUUCAGGAAACUGGGGCUAAUACCGGAUAUGAGCUCCUGCUGCAUGGUGGGGGUUGGAAAGUUUCGGCGGUUGGGGAUGGACUCGCGGCUUAUCAGCUUGUUGGUGGGGUAGUGGCUUACCAAGGCUUUGACGGGUAGCCGGCCUGAGAGGGUGACCGGCCACAUUGGGACUGAGAUACGGCCCAGACUCCUACGGGAGGCAGCAGUGGGGAAUAUUGCACAAUGGGCGGAAGCCUGAUGCAGCAACGCCGCGUGCGGGAUGACGGCCUUCGGGUUGUAAACCGCUUUCGCCUGUGACGAAGCGUGAGUGACGGUAAUGGGUAAAGAAGCACCGGCUAACUACGUG
rnacentral:rRNA from 1 species